GACGAACGCUGGCGGCGUGCUUAACACAUGCAAGUCGAACGGAAAGGCCCUGCUUUUGUGGGGUGCUCGAGUGGCGAACGGGUGAGUAACACGUGAGUAACCUGCCCUUUACUUUGGGAUAACUUCAGGAAACUGGGGCUAAUACCGGAUAGGAGCUCCUGCUGCAUGGUGGGGGUUGGAAAGUUUCGGCGGUUGGGGAUGGACUCGCGGCUUAUCAGCUUGUUGGUGGGGUAGUGGCUUACCAAGGCUUUGACGGGUAGCCGGCCUGAGAGGGUGACCGGCCACAUUGGGACUGAGAUCCGGCCCAGACUCCUCCGGGAGGCAGCAGUGGGGAAUAUUGCACAAUGGGCGGAAGCCUGAUGCAGCAACGCGGCGUGCGGGAUGACGGCCUUCGGGUUGUAACCCGCUUUCGCCUGUGACGAAGCGUGAGUGACGGUAAUGGGUAGAGAAGCACCGGCUAACUACGUG
rnacentral:rRNA from 1 species